rnacentral:lncRNA from 1 species
GUUUGGCUCUGGCAGCGGUUAGAAAAGAUGUUGUUUGUCUGAAGAGACAAGGGUGUGGUGAAAAUACUCCGUGCCAGCCAAGUGAACCAAAACACUAUCUGAAUUACUAAACAGGUUGGAAAAUAAAAUUUAACUGACAGAAGAUCUGGAUCCCACCUGUGCUAAGAGACAGAAAAAGAAUCACAGAAAUUGCUGUGUGCAGUUGGAGCAUCUGCACUAUGAAAUUCACCCUGAAUGAAAGGAAACUCAGAUGUCUUUACUUCCAGCAGAGAGGACACAACUCUCAGGCUGAAUUAGGCCAUUUGAAGAGGUUUACCAAAAUCUCCGUGGGUUACAGACACAAGACUUUUCUCUCACACUGGUCUGGACUGAGCACAGGGUGGUUGUAG